rnacentral:rRNA from 1 species
UACGUAGGGGGCAAGCGUUGUCCGGAAUCAUUGGGCGUAAAGAGCGUGUAGGCGGCCCGGUAAGUCUGCUGUGAAAGUCCAGGGCUCAACCCUGGGAUGCCGGUGGAUACUGUCGGGCUCGAGUCCGGAAGAGGCGAGUGGAAUUCCUGGUGUAGCGGUGAAAUGCGCAGAUAUCAGGAGGAACACCAAUGGCGAAGGCAGCUCGCUGGGACGUGACUGACGCUGAGACGCGAAAGCGUGGGGAGCAAACAGG